UGGAUGAAUGUGAGAAUAGUGUCACCCAUAGAAACAGAGAAACCUGUGCUUGCUGCGUCUUCUGGUGAAAGUGAAAGGAUCCUUUCUCCCAUAAAGAGGAGCUUCAAAAGACAUGGUAGAAGGGAACAAAGAACAUAGGUGAAAUGACAAUGGUAGCAAAGAGGAAGUACAACUCAACCAGGAAGCUCCAGACAGCGGUAGUCAGAUGCCCUCCAAUGGUGUGAAUCCUCAUAGAUGUUCACUGAAUCCUACUUCUCAUUACAACAUCAAAGUUUUGGACUCCAGUUCAGGCCCAUUUGGUUGGCUUUAA